CCAGGACUGCAGAAGCAGAGCCAAUAGGCUCUUAGUCCUACAGCAAUAGGGAGGAGGGGCCACCCUUGGCUAAGGAAAGGAGGGCGUCCUUUCAACUAUACCCCUGGAAAUGAAUUCCCAACAUUUCUUGGCCCGACUUCAGCAAAAACUGGGAGGUUCUAACAUGCAUUGAAAAUAGCUACCACAUUCAGCACCACCCUGUAGACUUCAGAGGUAAAAAGAGCAGAGAGAGAAAAACAGCUCAGCACCACACUGUGACUGACUCAGCAAAGGUCUGGUGCUUACUAUGACAUGCAGGACAAAGGACUCAUUGUAGAAUUAAGAUCCAAGUUGUAAAGAAAUAUCCACUAUCUUUAGUAUGAAGAACUACUUUAAGUCAGCAAACAUUGUCGGAAAGAGUGAGAAAGAGAUGUGCUAUGCUGCAAGAAAUCCAUGUAUUUUAACAUAUUUGUUUCCUUUCUAAUUCAUAAAACAGAUGCAUUUGCAAUGUUGGCCAGCUA